rnacentral:rRNA from 1 species
UACGGAAGGCAGCAGUGGGGAAUAUUGCACAAUGGGCGCAAGCCUGAUGCAGCCAUGCCGCGUGUAUGAAAAAGGCCUUCGGGUUGUAAAGUACUUUCAGUCGUGAGGAGGUGUUAAGGUUAAUAACCUUAGCAAUUGACGUUAGCGACAGAAGAAGCACCGGCUAACUCCGUGCCAGCAGCCGCGGUAAUACGGAGGGUGCGAGCGUUAAUCGGAAUUACUGGGCGUAAAGGGCACGCAGGCGGUUAAUUAAGUUGGAUGUGAAAUCCCCGGGCUUAACCUGGGAAUGGCAUUCAAGCUGGUUAGCUAGAGUCUUGUAGAGGGGGUAGAAUUCCAUGUGUAGCGGUGAAAUGCGUAGAGAUGUGGAGGAAUACCGGUGGCGAAGGCGGCCCCUGGACAAAGGCUGACGCUCAUGUGCGAAAGCGUGGGGAGCAAACAGGGAUUAGAUACC